rnacentral:rRNA from 1 species
CCCUUAGAUGAUUUGGGCUGCACGCGCGCUACACUGACCCUAACAAUGAGCAACUGUCUGGCCUGAGAUGGCUGGGUAGCCUUUUCAACCCAUGUCAUGAUUGGGCUAGAUUUUUGUAAGUCUUGAUCUCUAACGAGGAAUCCCUAGUAUUCGUGAAUCAUCAAUCCAUGCAGAUUAUGUCCCUGCCCUUUGUACACACCGCCCGUCGCUCCUACUGAUUGGGUGAUCCGGUGAGCUGUUCGGCCAUAGCAAUGUUUCUUGAGCAGGGCAAUGAAUGUUUCGCAAACCUUGCCACUUAGAGGAAGGAGAAGUCGUAACA